AGCUUACACAUGCAGUCGAACGAACUCUUCGGAGUUAGUGGCAGACGGGUGAGUAACGCGUGGGAAUAUACCUUUCGGUACGGAACAACAGUUGGAAACGACUGCUAAUACCGUAUGCGCCCUAUGGGGGAAAGAUUUAUCGCCGAAGGAUUAGCCCGCGUUGGAUUAGCUAGUUGGUGGGGUAAAGGCCUACCAAGGCGACGAUCCAUAGCUGGUCUGAGAGGAUGAUCAGCCACACUGGGACUGAGACACGGCCCAGACUCCUACGGGAGGCAGCAGUGGGGAAUAUUGGACAAUGGGGGCAACCCUGAUCCAGCCAUGCCGCGUGAGUGAUGAAGGCCCUAGGGUUGUAAAGCUCUUUCAGCGAGGAGGAUAAUGACGUUACUCGCAGAAGAAGCCCCGGCUAACUUCGUGCCAGCAGCCGCGGUAAUACGAAGGGGGCUAGCGUUGUUCGGAAUCACUGGGCGUAAAGCGCACGUAGGCGGAUUGGUCAGUUAGGGGUGAAAUCCCAGAGCUCAACUCUGGAACUGCCUUUAAUACUGCCAGUCUUGAGUCCGAGAGAGGUGAGUGGAACUCCGAGUGUAGAGGUGAAAUUCGUAGAUAUUCGGAA
rnacentral:rRNA from 1 species